CAGUUUAGAACAAUCGAAGCC
rnacentral:miRNA from 1 species